AAUCUUGGUCAAUGGUGGAAACCCUGAUCCAGUCAUCCCGCGAGUAUGAUGAUGGCCAUCGGUUUGUAAAGUACUUUUGUCAGAGAAGAAAAGGUAUCUCCUAAUACGAGAUCAUGCUGACUGUAUCUGCAGUAUAAGCACCGGCUAACUAGCUGCCAGCAGCCGCGGUAAUACGUAGGGUGCAAGCGUUAAUCGGAAUUACUGGGCGUAAAGCGUGUGUAGGCGGUUCGGAAAGAAAGAUGUGAAAUCCCAGGGCUCAACCUUGGAACUGCAUUUUUAACUGCCGAGCUAGAGUAUGUCAGAGGGGGUAGAAUUCCACGUGUAGCAGUGAAAUGCGUAGAUAUGUGGAGGAAUACCGAUGGCGAAGGCAGCCCCCUGGGAUAAUACUGACGCUCAGACACGAAAGCGUGGGGAGCAAACAG
rnacentral:rRNA from 1 species